AACCUCCACAAUGUGAGAAAUCGCGAUGGGGGGAUCCCAAGUGCCAUUCUUAACGGGAUGGCUUUUCAUUAGUGUAAAAAGCUUUUGGAAUAAGAGCUGGGCAAGACCGGUGCCAGCCGCCGCGGUAACACCGGCAGCUCUAGUGGUAGCAGUUUUUAUUGGGCCUAAAGCGUUCGUAGCCGGUUUGAUAAGUCACUGGUGAAAUCCUGUAGCUUAACUGUGGGAAUUGCUGGUGAUACUGUUGAACUUGAGGUCGGGAGAGGUUAGCGGUACUCCCAGGGUAGAGGUGAAAUUCUGUAAUCCUGGGAGGACCGCCUGUUGCGAAGGCGUCUAACUGGAACGGUUCUGACGGUGAGGGACGAAAGUUAGGGGCGCGAACCGGAUUAGAUACCCGGGUAGUCCUAACUGUAAACGAUGCGGACUUGGUGUUGGGUGGCUUUGAGCUGCUCCAGUGCCGAAGGGAAGCUGUUAAGUCCGCCGCCUGGGAAGUACGGUCGCAAGACUGAAACUUAAAGGAAUU
rnacentral:rRNA from 1 species